AUUUUCCAGUGGUGUGAAAGCACUUUGUCCUCUUCGUCAUAUGUCUGAAUUUGAAAUUGUAAAACCCAGGAAAAAAUUCCAGGUUGGAGCAGAAUUAGUCUUUCGUGUUCUUGGUUGCAAGUCAAAGAGAAUCACUAUUACACACAAGAAGACACUAGUUAAAUCAAAACUUGAAAUUCUUGGUUCUUAUGCUGAUGCUACUGAAGGACUAACAACGCAUGGAUGGAUAACAAAGAUUGAAAACCAUGG
rnacentral:misc_RNA from 1 species